rnacentral:rRNA from 1 species
ACGAACGCUGGCGGCGUGCUUAACACAUGCAAGUCGAACGAUGAAGCCUAGCUUGCUAGGUGGAUUAGUGGCGAACGGGUGAGUAAUACGUGAGUAACCUACCUUUAACUCUGGGAUAAGCCUGGGAAACUGGGUCUAAUACCGGAUACGACCAAUCUCCGCAUGGGGUGUUGGUGGAAAGCGUUAUGUAGUGGUUAUAGAUGGGCUCACGGCCUAUCAGCUUGUUGGUGAGGUAACGGCUCACCAAGGCGACGACGGGUAGCCGGCCUGAGAGGGUGACCGGCCACACUGGGACUGAGACACGGCCCAGACUCCUACGGGAGGCGGCAGUGGGGAAUAUUGCACAAUGGGCGCAAGCCUGAUGCAGCGACACCGCGUGAGGGAUGACGGCCUUCGGGUUGUAAACCUCUGUUAGCAGGGAAGAAGAGAAAUUGACGGUACCUGCAGAGAAAGCGCCGGCUAACUACGUGCCAGCGGCCGGGGUAAUACGUAGGGGGCGAGCGUUGUCCGGAAUUAUUGGGCGUAAAGAGGUUGUAGGCUUUUUGUCGCGUCUGCUGUGAAAGGCCGGGGCUUAACUCCGUGUAUUGCAGUGGGUACUGGCAGACUAGAGUGCAGUAUGAGAUACUGGAAUUCCUGGUGUAUGGUUGGAAUGCGCAGAUAUCAUGAAGAACACCGAUGCGGUGCGCUGUUCUCUGUUCGGGUCUGAUGCUCGGUGCGCAUUCGUGCGAGCGAACGGAUUAAUACCCCUGUUAUGCCUGGCAUUUCCGCUGUUGAUGCUGGUUGUGGUGUGCCGGUGACGUUGUGGGGGUGGUGCUGUGCCCCUUCUUUUGUGCCUGUGUUGGUGGGUAAUAUGG